UACGUAGGGUGCAAGCGUUAAUCGGAAUUACUGGGCGUAAAGGGCCAGUAGGCGGCCAACUAAGUCCGACGUGAAAUCCCAAGGCUUAACCUUGGAACUGCGUCGGAUACUGGAUGGCUUGAAUUCGGGAGAGGGAUGCAGAAUUCCAGGUGUAGCGGUGAAAUGCGCAGAUAUCAGGAGGAACACCGGUGGCGAAGGCGGUUCUCUGGGCAUUACCUGACGCUGAGGAGCGAAAGUGUGGGGAGCGAACAGG
rnacentral:rRNA from 1 species